rnacentral:misc_RNA from 1 species
UUUCCGUUGGUGAACCAGCGGAAGGAUCAUUACAGAGUUCAUGCCCUCCGGGGUAGACCUCCCACCCUGUUUAUAUACUAUUGUUGCUUUGGCAGGCUGCCCUCACCAUGGGGCGUCCGGGUUCCGCCCGCGUCUCGCCUGCCAAAAGCCCCCUAAUUCUGUGUUCUGUGUCGUCUGAGUACUAUAUAAUAAGUUAAAACUUUCAACAACGGAUCUCUUGGUUCUG